AACUUUUAGCAACGGAUCACUUGGCUCUCGCAUCGAUGAAGAACGCAGUGAAAUGUGAUAAGUAAUGUGAAUUGCAGAAUCUCGUGAAUCAUCGAAUCUUGGAACGGACAUUGCGCCCUAUGGUAUUCCGUAGGGCAUGCCUGUCUGAGCGUCAGCUCUCACCCACUCAAGUAUCUUUGUUGGGGGAUUCUUGGAAUGAUUUAGAGAGGUGUCUUGUCAUAGAGACGUGCUUCAGAAGUUCAUAGGCAGUAUGGUUUGCACCUGAACCAGACGUAAUAAUAAUAAAAUAGUUUCUUUGGGAAUAAUUGUACUUGCCUUAACCCACCCAUUUCUCUCAUUUGGGUGACCUCAGAUCAGGUAGGGAUACUGGCAGAACUUAAGCAUAUCAAUAAGCGGAGGCU
rnacentral:misc_RNA from 1 species